UCUACGAAUUCGAGUAAUAGCCUCUCCUAUCCCCCUAGUGUUAAACUGGAAUACCUGGAAAUGUUUAGAGUUAUCAGUCCAAUUUUGGUUUCAAGUCAGCAAAGCAAUUCGCGCCUUGUCCAUUCUCCCAAGCCGGAAAUGGAGUGGAGAAAUAAUCAUUUGUCAUCGGCUUGGCUUAUUCGGGUCGAUCCUGCCCCG